AUGAGGAACUGGACCAAGGAGGAGUUCGUGCACAUCCUCCGCCGCCAGAGCACGGGGUUCGCCAGGGGGAGCUCCAAGUACCGCGGCGUCACGCUCCACAAGUGCGGCCGCUGGGAGGCAAGGAUGGGCCAGCUGCUCGGCAAGAAGUACAUAUAUCUUGGCCUCUUUGACAGCGAAGUUGAAGCUGCAAGGGCGUACGACAGGGCGGCGAUUCGCUUCAAUGGGAGGGAAGCUGUGACUAACUUUGAGAGCAGCUCCUACAAUGGGGAUGCUCCACCCGACGCCGAAAAUGAGGCAAUUGUUGAUGCUGAUGCUCUUGACUUGGAUCUUCGGAUGUCGCAACCUACCGCGCACGAUCCCAAGCGGGACAACAUCGUCGCCGGCCUUCAGUUAACUUUUGAUUCCCCUGAAUCGUCAACCACAAUGCUCUCUUCUCAGCCAAUGAGCUCAUCUUCUUCCCAGUGGCCUGUGCAUCAACAUGGCACGGCAGUACCACCUCAGCAGCACCAGCGUUUGUACCCAUCUGCUUGUCAUGGCUUCUACCCGAACGUACAGGUGCAGGUGCAGGAGAGGCCGAUGGAGGCAAGGCCCCCUGAGCCGCCGUCGUGCUUCCCCGGCUGGGGGUGGCAAGCGCAAGCCACGCCGCCGGGCUCCUCCCACUCGCCGUUGCUUUACGCUGCAGCAUCAUCAGGAUUCUCUACCGCCGCCGGCGCGCACCCCGCCCCGCCGCCGCCGUCGUACCCGGAUCACCACCGGUUCUACUUCCCCCGCCCGCCGGACAACUAG
rnacentral:rRNA from 1 species